rnacentral:ncRNA from 1 species
GCAGAGUAGAUUGCCGAGCGUAAAGUGCUGUAUGAACGGGGAGUUGUCAUACAGACGAAAAGCUUUUGCUUGCGGUUUGGUAUUCGCAUCCCGCUGC